UGCGUAGGCGGCUGUGCAAGUCUGGCGUGAAAGCCCCGGGCUCAGCCCGGGAAGUGCGCUCGAAACUGCACGGCUCGAGUGCCGGAGGGGAGAGUGGAAUUCCUGGUGUAGCGGUGAAAUGCGUAGAUAUCAGGAGGAAUACCGGUGGCGAAAGCGACUCUCUGGACGGCAACUGACGCUGAGGCACGAAAGCGUGGGGAGCAAACA
rnacentral:rRNA from 1 species